UACGUAGGGGGCUAGCGUUGUCCGGAAUCAUUGGGCGUAAAGAGCGUGUAGGCGGCCCGGUAAGUCCGCUGUGAAAGUCGGGGGCUCAACCCUCGGAUGCCGGUGGAUACUGUCGGGCUCGAGUACGGAAGAGGCGAGUGGAAUUCCUGGUGUAGCGGUGAAAUGCGCAGAUAUCAGGAGGAACACCGGUGGCGAAGGCGGUGGGCUGGGCCGGAACUGACGCUGAGGAGCGAAAGCGUGGGGAGCGAACAGG
rnacentral:rRNA from 1 species